GACCCCAGGUCAGGCGG
rnacentral:rRNA from 9 species